rnacentral:misc_RNA from 1 species
AGCCAAAAAAGAAAGAGAAGAAGGCGAAAAAAGAGAAGAAAAAGGAUGAAGAGUCUAAAGAUGGUGACAAGGAAGGCGAUUCCAAGGAGAAGAAGAAAAAGAAAGGCAAAGAUGAGGGUGAAGACUCAGAGGGCAAAGAAGAGGAAAAUGAAGACGAGAAAGGAAACAAAGAGAAGGAAAAGAAAAUAAAGACGAAGAAGAGGAGUAUUGAAGCAUCACAUGAAGAGGAAGCAGAUGAAGAGAAAGAGAAGGGAAAAGAAAAGAAAGAGAAAAACAAGGAGAAGAAGGAUAAAAGUGGGAAGAAAAAGGAGAAGAAGAACGAUGUCGGUUCUCUGAAGGCAAAGCUAGAAAAGAUCGAUGCCAAGAUUGAAGCUCUGGUUGCCAAGAAAGCAGAGAUCUUGAAACAGAUCAAAGAAGCUGAAGAGGCCCAAGUGGUGGAAAAGCCAAGCGAGGAGACUAAUGUUGCUGCAGCAUAACAUUGUGAGCAAUUACUUCACCUAUAACAUAUAGGUAGUUAGAGCAAUGGCUUUCAUUGCAGUGAAGUUUCCAUUACUGUACAUCAGUUGAGCAAGUCUUUUAUCAAGGAUAUUAUGUGGCAGUGGUACUAUUAUGUGAACUAGUAGAAAAUUUCUGAUGCCUCUUGUACACAAAUUGUUGUCAUCUCUGAUGAUAAAUGUACGAGUUCAGAAAUCAAUAAUAAGUUGUUUGGCG